ensembl:lincRNA Gm29515 predicted gene 29515
GUGUGUGUGUGUGUGUGUGUGUGUGUGUGUGUGCAUGGCCUGUGGCUCAGGGUUAAGCUGUUAGUCUUAUGCCAGCCUGUCACCAUGCUUCCUGUCUUGAUAACAAUGGAUUAAACAUCUGAAUUGAUGAUGAGAUGUACCAUGGCCAUGGCCUACAGGAAUCAGGCAAAAACCACAAUGGGAACCUUUGGGGAUGGACUUAAACAGACACAUUACAGUAUACUUUUCUUUCUUAAGUGUUUGUAGCUUGCUUAUUUAUACAUGCCUAGUUUUUUUUUUCUUUUACAAAAAUACAGAUAUAAUACUUAAAUGUAUAGCUUUUGUCUAUAGAAAUGAGAAUAACAGAUCUAAAUAAUAUUUAUGGAUUUUCAUAAGUCUCUUGUCCUGUUAUCUUCAAAAAGUCAAAUCAUCAUUCCAGAGCUCUGAGCCUCAGCCCUUCAGUGAUGAAAAAUAAAGAUACUAAUUUCUUAUUUACUAUUCAGUCAUACAGUUCAGUGAAAAGAGAUAUUCUUUUCUGCUUUUUCCUUAACAAACAACUGAUACUCUUUUACAAACAGUUUUGACACAACUUCCUAUAUGUGUUAAUUUUAUAUUGGUAUAAUUUAAUUAAUAUUAAACAUGAUUAAAAAGUGUUGGAAUUCUUUCAUCCUAUGUAAAUGUGGUCUACAUUCCUCAUUCAUCAUCUUUUUCUUUUUCUUGUUGUUCAUUUAUAACUGCAUUGGAUUUAUUGAUCCCAAAUAAAAUAUGUUUUGUCUGCACUAAGACAUAAAAAUAAUUUUAGAGUUUCUUAUUAACUUAUAUGAAACAUUACUCAUUGAACUAUUAUCAAUAGUUAUGAUUUUUCUCAUCAAUAGAAAUUGUACAUCACUUUACUAUAUGUAUAUUUAUCUUAUGUAUGUAUAUAUAUAUGUAUAUAUCAUAUAUGUAUAUUUUAGGAAAUAUUUCUAAGUAUUUAUUUGGGAAAUACUUAUAGGUUUAAUUUUAUAAUAAUGAACACAUUUCUCUUAUUUUUAAAGUUAUAUUGUUAUACAUUAAAGCCAUUUACCUACCUAAAAUUUUAAUGACUUAGUUUAUUAAUCUAUUGUAGUUGCAGACCUUUUUCUUGUGUCCCUAUUCCUGAAUAAUGACUCAGAGGAUAUUUAUGUAUAAAUAAAGGUCUAAGCCAUAAGCUUAAGCUUGUUCUCCGACUAUCUCCUAACUUAUAUUCCUCAUUUAUUCUAUUCAAUGUGUACCACAUACCUUUGAUACUUUUCCUCAUUUUCAUACAUCAGUCUCCUCAAAGUCCAGGGUGAAAUCUUCCCACAUCUCACUCUUUCCCCCAUAUCCCUUUUCUUUCUGAGGGAUGACCCACCUGCUAAUCCUGCCUCUGCUUAUUUGCUAUCAGAAUUUUAUUAGUAGGUGAUGCUUUGACACAGUUCAUGAGAGGUUCUUUCUAGAAUGUAUUUCAAGCAAUAUACUUCAAAAUUAUUUAUGUUUUGUUCCCUCUUAAAUAAUUCCGUGCUUUUUGUAAAGUUUUGAAGUGGUCUUCUAUUAUCUCAGCAUCAUGGACUCUAAUUCUUCAAUUAACAAAAUCAGAGAUGAAGUUAAUGAAAUCAAAACAAUACACAGAAUCAAAUAAGCUUUCUUUGAGAAGAUAAAUAAGAUUGCCAGUCUCUUGGCUUAACUAACCACAAGAAAGGAAGAAGUGAUUCAAUUUAACAAAAUAAAAAAUGAAUAGGGAAACAUUGUAGCAGACAUACCAAAGAGAGUAAGAAAAGCAUAAGGAAAUACUUUACAAACCUCUAGUCUCUUAUGCUGGAAAUCUAAAAGUAAUGGUUCAAUUUCUAGAUUCAUACAAACCAAAAGAGCUAAAAUAAGAAAAGGUCAUCAAUCUAAACAGACUCAUGAUGCAUGAGGGGAUUGAAACAGUAACAAAAGUCUUUCUAACUAAGGAGAACAGAACCAGAUGGAUUCACAGCAUAAUUCUACCAGACUUCAAGAAGAUCUAUAGUACAUCAUUCUUAAAGCAUUCAAAGAAACAGAAAAAUCACUUCCAAACUUCCAUGAAGCCAGUAUUAAUCUUAUAGUAGAAUCAGU